CGUGGGGAGAGUCCCCAGCACCUCUCUGACCCCCAGUCAAGUGUAGUGGAGGCUCAGCCCCUAGCAGAGCAGUGUGUGCGCACAUGCCCUUGCACGCACACAUGCCCUUGCACGCACACAUGCCCUUGCACACAGAGACUCAUGGACCAACUGAAAACUAUUAGGUUUAAAACAGUGACAAAGCAGAGCCGGGGAGGCCUGAAGAGCUCUUGCACUGGCUGCUUGGUGACAGGGACUAAUGCAGGGACUGUCAGAAGAGUGCAGCCUUGCACAGAAUUACUUCUUUAGGGACAUCUGGGCAGAUGUACAACCCUGGGUAGAGCGACUCUUGUUAUUGACACCUAGCUUAGUAUUGAUUCUGUGGCCAAGAAUCAUUUUAACAGAACAAAUUAUAGACUUCUCUUCAUUUUGCCUCAAGAAGUCCCCUUGCCUCCACUUCUUCAGGUUAGUUGACUGUGGCAUGUGUGUUCUUAUUACAAGGACAUUCCCAGGAGGCUCCAUUCUCUGCAGAACCUCUCUCAUCUGUUGCUAGGCCUUGACACAUGCUCACACAGGCAGGCAGAAAAAUAACAACGAACUCAGGUGUACAUUCAUGACCCCAGGGCCCCUGCCAGAGCUGGGACCAGGGAGAGUCAGGGUCCACCCUCUCCAGUCCCCCUCGGGUGCUACCUCACACACAGCUCAGGUGUGACUGCUGUCUCUUGUGCCUCCAGUGAAGGUUGUGGCUUUGGCAUCUGUGAGGGAGAUGUUGGGGGCUGUCUCCCCAAGGUCAAGCACCAUUUGGGGACCAGAGAGUGUACUUUGAGGGUUUGUGCUUAGACAUCCCC
rnacentral:lncRNA from 1 species